AAGUCGUAACAAGGUUUCCGUAGGUGAACCUGCGGAAGGAUCAUUAACACGCUUCAAUGUGCUCGUACACUUUGUCAAAGCGAGGCAAUCCCUGGUAAAUCAUCGCCGAACAGUUUUGAUUCUGGGACUUCCUCAAAGAGUGUGCAUGUUGCGCGAGGCAAGUGGCCUGGCAUUCCCAAGCAGUUAAUGUCUGAAAGUGUCAUUAGCUGUGUAAGGAUGACGCAGUAACGAUCGUUGGAGGCCGACACGGCCGACGACCGGGUCACCGGGCGCAAGCCCCUUUAUCACCACUUAAUGCAUGACAGACGCGCCAGCGCUUAAUUGUGCGGCGACCAAAAACCGAACAACUGUUAACAAUGGAUAUCUUGGUUCUC
rnacentral:misc_RNA from 1 species